AGACUAUUUGCAGGUCUGGGGGAGAGAGGCAGGUAGGAAAGAGCACCAAUGCUGUCUGGAACAAAAUUAAAUGCUGAUUGUUUUCACAUGUAGUGGAGGUGCUUAUAAAUUAAUGAGACUAAAAAUGCUGACAAAGUCAAAAUCAAUGGGAUUUUGUGUAUGUGUUUUGUAUAAUGUAUAACUUACUUUAGAAAUCACCUUUAUCUGAAGGAAGAAACAAUUCAAGAAACAAAAAACUCCAACCCCAUGAUUUCACCAUCAUGGGUGGUGUCCUUGUUGCCACUAACUUACCUUUAAAAUUUGUAAAGCAUGAAAAGUUUGGAGCUAGACACCAGACUUUCUCCCCUUGGCUUUUGAUAUGCAGACCUCAGUACCACAGGAUGAUGGUGCUGGAAAGCAUUCAACUGAUUAAAAUAUUGAAAAGAGUCCUUUGAACGUCUGAGGAACCUCUCCUGUCUUCAGCUGUGCAGGAGUCCCAGCAUUUAAAAGACAGAGAGGCAGGAAGCAGCCCUUGCUGACCUUCUGCUCUGGCCUGUUUCUAUCUGGUCCUCUGCCAUCUCCUGGAUAGACAUCUGGACCUUCCCAUUGACCAUCAGUGUUCUGGCUGCUAUGCACUAAAAUUAAGCUGAACUGCAGUAUUUGAUAGAAACAGCCUGCUACUUCUAGAGGUCAGAUGAGAUACAGAGGAAUGUGCUCACCUUUGGGCACUGCAGAUUUACUUUGCCAUUCUUGGAGCUGUUCCUCCUGGUGGAACAGCAGGAAAAGAAAAAGGAACCUGUCACUAAACUCCAAGUAUACAUGGAAGAAUCAAAUAAAU
rnacentral:lncRNA from 7 species